GAUGAACGCUGGCGGCGUGCCUAAUACAUGCAAGUCGAGCGAACGGACGAGAAGCUUGCUUCUCUGAUGUUAGCGGCGGACGGGUGAGUAACACGUGGAUAACCUACCUAUAAGACUGGGAUAACUUCGGGAAACCGGAGCUAAUACCGGAUAAUAUUUUGAACCGCAUGGUUCAAAAGUGAAAGACGGUCUUGCUGUCACUUAUAGAUGGAUCCGCGCUGCAUUAGCUAGUUGGUAAGGUAACGGCUUACCAAGGCAACGAUGCAUAGCCGACCUGAGAGGGUGAUCGGCCACACUGGAACUGAGACACGGUCCAGACUCCUACGGGAGGCAGCAUUAGGGAAUCUGCCGCAAUGGGCGAAAGCCUGACGGAGCAACGCCGCGUGAGUGAUGAAGGUCUUCUGUUCGUAAGACUCUGUUAUUAGGGAAGAACAUAUGUGUAAGUAACUGUGCACAUCUUGACGGUACCUAAUCAGAAAGCCACGGCUAACUACGUG
rnacentral:rRNA from 1 species